AUACGGAGGAUCCGAGCGUUAUCCGGAUUUAUUGGGUUUAAAGGGUGCGCAGGCGGGAGAUUAAGUCGGCGGAGAACUUUUGCAGCUCAACUGUAAAAGUGCCUUCGAAACUGGUUUUCUUGAGUGUAGAUUAAGUAGGCUGAAUUUGUGGUGUAGCGGUGAAAUGCAUAGAUUGCACGAGGAAAUCCGAUUGCGCAGGCAGCAUACUAAACUACUAGAGACGCUCAGGCACGAAGGCAUGGGGAUCAAACAGGAUUAGAUUCCCUGGUAGUCCUCGCAGUAAACGAUGAUUACUAGCUGUUUGCGAUACAAUGUAAGCGGCUGAGCGAAAGCGUUAAGUAAUCCACCUGGGGAGUACGUUCGCAAGAAUGAAACUUAAAGGAAUUGACGGGG
rnacentral:rRNA from 1 species